CUCUCCUCCUCAUGAAGCAGGAGAAAACAGCUUUGAGUCCUUGCUCUCCUGCUGCUGGUGAUCUCUCCCUCUCGGUGUCCCACCUCGGUAGGAAGAAGUAGAUAUUUUUCCUUCUGUUAUGCUUUCUCUCUGCUCUGUAUUCCCUCUUUCCUGCCAGCAGAAGCACCGCGAUCAGAAUCUAUCUCACGGUCGGAAUGCAUCUGCAUUUUGUUCAUACAAUAUCCAUAUGACAUGAUGAAGAAGAACUCAACCUUCAAAGUCCUCCAG